rnacentral:rRNA from 1 species
CUAGGGAUGACAUGCUUACGCGUCGUGUAUCUGAUCCCGAUACGGUUCGACUUUAGCCGACUGAAGAAUGUACUAGUGUUUUCGCACGUCGACAACCAGUACGCCAUCACAUUCAAUGCCAUAUUAAAAAAUGGUUGCAAGAUACCCGAGCCCUCGGUGGUAGAUGAACGCUGGCGGUCUGCUUAACACAUGCAAGUCGAACGGAAGUAGCAAUACUUUAGUGGCGGACGGGUGAGUAACACGUAAGAACCUGCCUCUUGGCCGGGGACAACAGUUGGAAACGGCUGCUAAUCCCGGAUGAGCCGAAAGGUAAAAGAUUAAUCGCCAAGAGAGGGGCUUGCGUCUGAUUAGCUAGUUGGUAGUGUAAGAGACUACCAAGGCGACGAUCAGUAGCUGGUCUGAGAGGAUGAUCAGCCACACUGGGACUGAGACACGGCCCAGACUCCUACGGGAGGCAGCAGUGGGGAAUUUUCCGCAAUGGGCGAAAGCCUGACGGAGCAAGACCGCGUGGGGGAGGAAGGUUCUUGGAUUGUCAACCCCUUUUCUCAGGGAAGAAGAAAGUGACGGUACCUGAGGAAGAAGCAUCGGCUAACUCCGUGCCAGCAGCCGCGGUAAUACGGAGGAUGCAAGCGUUAUCCGGAAUGAUUGGGCGUAAAGAGUCCGUAGGUGGCCCUUCAAGUCUGCUGUUAAAGAGCGAGGCUUAACUUCGGAAAAGCAGUGGAAACUGGAGAGCUAGAGUGUAGUAGGGGCAGAGGGAAUUCCUGGUGUAGCGGUGAAAUGCGUAGAGAUCAGGAAGAACACCGGUGGCGAAAGCGCUCUGCUGGGCUACAACUGACACUGAGGGACGAAAGCUAGGGGAGCGAAUGGGAUUAGAUACCCCAGUAGUCCUAGCGGUAAACGAUGGAAACUAGGUGUGGCCUGUAUCGACCCGGGCCGUGCCGGAGCAAACGCGUUAAGUUUCCCGCCUGGGGAGUACGCACGCAAGUGUGAAACUCAAAGGAAUUGACGGGGGCCCGCACAAGCGGUGGAGUAUGUGGUUUAAUUCGAUGCAACGCGAAAAACCUUACCAGGACUUGACAUCUCUGGAAUCCGUCUGAAAGGGUGGAGUGCCUUAGGGAACCAGAAGACAGGUGCUGCAUGGCUGUCGUCAGCUCGUGUCGUGAGAUGUUGGGUUAAGUCCCGCAACGAGCGCAACCCUCGUCGUUAGUUGCCAUCAUUAAGUUGGGAACUCUAGCGAGACUGCCGGUGACAAACCGGAGGAAGGUGAGGAUGACGUCAAGUCAGCAUGGCCCUUACGUCCUGGGCGACACACGUACUACAAUGCUAAGGACAGAGAGCAGCCAACCCGCGAGGGAGAGCGAAUCUCAUAAACCUUGGCACAGUUCAGAUUGAAGCUUGCAACUCAGCUUCAUGAAGGAGGAAUCGCUAGUAAUCGCAGGUCAGCAUACUGCGGUGAAUCCGUUCCCGGGCCUUGUACACACCGCCCGUCACACCAUGGAAGUGAGCCACGCCCGAAGUCAUUACUCUAACCUGCAAGGGGGGAGGGUGCCGAAGGCAGGGCUGAUGACUGGGGUGAGUCGUAACAAGGUAGCCGAUACGA